GCCAUACUGUGGACAUAAAUCUUAAUGCCAAUAAUUUUUUACGGUGAAAUAGACUAUUGUACCCCGAUAAAAUUAAUACGCCUUAUAAAUCAGUAUUUUUGAAGAAUUUUUCAUCAAAAUAAAUAAAUAGCAUUCAUCUUAUUUUAACACAAAAACUCAAAAAUUUAGAAAUAAAAUUAAAUGGCACUCUGUGACAUGACAUGAUACAUGUUUUGAGAUAAGAUUCAUAAUUGGCUUGAUAUUAUUUUUGUGGAUAAUUUUGUUGUGGUUGUUGUUGGUUCUCAUGUUUGGUUUGGUAUUUGAACGGUUUGACAUCUGUCACGAUUUGGAAAGACACCAAAUAUCAAGUAUCAAAUAAGGACUGUUCAUUUUAUAAAACGGACAACUUGUUAGUACAAUAUCUUUUUUAUUUUUCAAUAAAAUCAUUAUCAGUUUUUUGCAUAACUUCCUAUAGCUAUUCUCAAACGUAGGAAAAAUAUAACAUUGAGCAAAAUAAUCUUUAUUGUGUAACUAAAGCGGUUUUCGUAAAACAUCAAUAAAAACUCAUUUCUCAAAAUACGACAUAACUUUCCACAUACUUAACAUGCCCAUUUUCAUGAAGUUUUCAAUGUAUUGGAAUUUUAUACUACUCUACUAAAGGUAAAGCUCAAAAGUUGGUCAGUAAUAAUGCACCAAGCAGCCUCCAGAUUGAUAUAGUAAGUUGCCUUGUUUUCAUGGAAAUUAUUAUUAUUUUUUUUAUUUAAGUCCUGUGUUGCAAUAGCACAACGGAUUUGGCUAAAAAUUUGUCCAGACUAGUAAAAUAUUGCUCCCUGAAUGGUACAAAAGAAAAAUUUACUUUUAAUUGCAUUCUUCAUCAUAAAUUUAAUCCAUAAAGUUGGUCAUAGUAAAAAAUUGCAUACUUUUUGCUCCAUUGAUGCUGAUUUUUCGACUCUAGCUAAUCUGGUUAUUAUUUAUUUUCGACAAAGUUAGUCCUAUGUUAUUGUACACCUUGUUUAAUAAGGAUCGGAUGUAAAGUUUUAAUUUCCAACAUCAUUGUUUUGCAAAAUUUGCAUUAGGUUGCAUUGUUAUUAAGAAGAACUUUCAAAGAACGUAACUGUUUUGGUUACUGUGCCUGUAAUGGCGCACAGUAAGCAAACCAACAAUGUUAUUAAGAAGCAGUUUUCUGCAUUUGAAACCUCAUUAUUCCUACUUUCGUCUGGAUGCAUGAAAAAAAAUGUUUAUUUGAUAUUUUCAUGCCCUUUUUGCUUUACAAUUGAAUUUUAUUCAAAAAUUCGAAUCUCACAUGAGGCUUUAAUAUCUCAACAACUAAUUUUCCAAUUGAGUUCAAAUUUCGUAAGAAUGUUUAUUACUCAUGCUGUUGCAGCAUGGCACACACUUUUCUGAUAAUUAAAACGAUAUACAAUAUGUGAACAUUGAUUUUAUAUAUAUUUUAAAUUUUCAGCAAUUGAUAAAUUCACCUCAUUUAACACUUGGCCGAUUUUCUAAAAAAAUAAAACUAUUUUUAUUCGAUUAAAAAAUGAUUACUAUAAUGAAAGCUGAUGUACUGAACAACGAAACAAGGGUGGUUAAAUUUGAACUACGCGUCUUGGUUUUAUAGCCUUGUAAAGUUGUCCGUUUUAUAAAUUGAACAGUCCUUAAUUAUCACAGUUUAUACAUUGAAGCGGCUCAAAGAGCAUUAUGCUCGAUAAAAUCGGCCCUUAUCGAUAAUCACAUAUGUUGUGGUAACAUAUAUUCCUGUCAUUUUUUUUGUAUAGGUAUUCAAAGCUUAGAUUCUGUUAGGAAAUAAAAAACGAUUCUUCAUUUCUAUGAUCGGUAGUGUAGCAUGUCCCUGUUCAAAAAUUAGGUUUACGUUAAACAUGUUUUCUAUCAUACUGCAGAAAACCAAAAUUCGACUAAUUAUAAACAUACGAAACACACUAUGUUUUGUCAAAACAUGAUUGAAAACAAGUCUUAAACAUGAAACUGCAAAUGUCACUCUAAUAUGUCAUAUAGAACAUACUGAGCAUGUAUGGUAACAAACAAAGUGUACUUAAAUAGAACUUACCCAACAUAAUCGACAACAACAUGCAAUGUUUGUUUGAGAAAACAAAAUAUAUUCUUUAAUAAGACUUCUAAAUAGAAGAUCACUGUGUAUAAGUUUUAGGUAUCGUGAAAACGACUUAUCCAUGACAUAAUAUGUUUCGAGAAACUUCAUAACAACUGCUGUAGGACAAAGUAAAUAUUUGCUAUUUCGGAUUAUGUUUUCGGUGUUACUUGGGGCGUGUCUUAAUGGUCUUAAUGAAUUUUAUACAACUUCAUAGACAAGAUAAUUGGAAAUGGCUUUUCAAGAACUUUUCAACAGACUGUAUUUUUUUGUUGAGUGCAUCAAAAUUUCCCAAAAUCUCACUGAUAGCACUGAAGCAGACUGCACCUCUUUUCUGCGAGCCGGAUCGAUUUCUGAAAAAAUCAGCCCAUCCAGCCCACGGCCAGAACAAAGUGGGUGAAUUGUCGGAGCAUAAACCGUUGACAAAGGUGCCUAUGCUGCAGGCCCUUAACGAUAAAACGGAACAUUGUUAGUAAGUACACAUCAACACUACACAGACACAGCAUAAUACAUAACACAUAAUUUGUUUGUUGUCCAUCAGAUCCCAAGAAGAAGGCACAAUAAAUGUGUCCGAAACGUCGGAUGAAAGCAUAAGAAUCCGUUUUUAAUUAAAAGAGACUGGAAGCCAUUACCCCGAAUCAACUAUCACAGUCGUAUCUCUAAGAAAGUU